AUUGAACGCUGGCGGCAUGCCUUACACAUGCAAGUCGAACGGCAGCGCGGGGGCAACCCUGGCGGCGAGUGGCGAACGGGUGAGUAAUAUAUCGGAACGUACCCAAGAGUGGGGGAUAACGUAGCGAAAGUUACGCUAAUACCGCAUACGAUCUAAGGAUGAAAGCAGGGGACCGCAAGGCCUUGUGCUCCUGGAGCGGCCGAUAUCUGAUUAGCUAGUUGGGGGGGUAAAGGCCUACCAAGGCAUCGAUCAGUAGCUGGUCUGAGAGGACGACCAGCCACACUGGGACUGAGACACGGCCCAGACUCCUACGGGAGGCAGCAGUGGGGAAUUUUGGACAAUGGGGGCAACCCUGAUCCAGCAAUGCCGCGUGAGUGAAGAAGGCCUGCGGGUUGUAAAGCUCUUUUGUCAGGGAAGAAACGGAUGUGGCUAAUAUCUAUGUCUAAUGACGGUACCUGAAGAAUAAGCACCGGCUAACUACGUGCCAGCAGCCGCCGCAGUAA
rnacentral:rRNA from 1 species